CAGCCGCCGCGGGAAUACGGAGGGGGCUAGCGUUGUUCGGAAUUACUGGGCGUAAAGCGCACGUAGGCUGCUUUGUAAGUCAGAGGUGAAAGCCCGGGGCUCAACCCCGGAUGUGCCUUUGAGACUGCAGGGCUAGAACGUCGGAGAGGUGAGUGGAAUUCCGAGUGUAGAGGUGAAAUUCGUAGAUAUUCGGAAGAACACCAGUGGCGAAGGCGGCUCACUGGACGACUGUUGACGCUGAGGUGCGAAAGCGUGGGGAGCAAACAGGAUUAGAUACCCCCGUAGUCCCUGUCUCUUAUAC
rnacentral:rRNA from 1 species